rnacentral:rRNA from 1 species
AGAACGAACGCUGGCGGCAGGCUUAACACAUGCAAGUCGAGCGCCCCGCAAGGGGAGCGGCAGACGGGUGAGUAACACGUGGGAACGUACCCUUUACUACGGAAUAACGCAUGGAAACGUGUGCUAAAUACCGUAUGUGCCCUUCGGGGGAAAGAUUUAUCGGUAAAGGAUCGGCCCGCGUUGGAUUUAGCUAGGUUGGUGGGGUAAAGGCCUACCAAGGCGACGAUCCAUAGCUGGUCUGAGAGGAUGAUCAGCCACAUUGGGACUGAGACACGGCCCAAACUCCUACGGGAGGCAGCAGUGGGGAAUAUUGGACAAUGGGCGCAAGCCUGAUCCAGCCAUGCCGCGUGAGUGAUGAAGGCCCUAGGGUUGUAAAGCUCUUUCACCGGAGAAGAUAAUGACGGUAUCCGGAGAAGAAGCCCCGGCUAACUUCGCGCCAGCAGCCGC